rnacentral:lncRNA from 1 species
UGGGGCAUCCAAAAAUCAGAGAGAAAGACCUUUGAGUCGUGGAGAUAUAAUAGACACAAGAUAGGGUGUCUAGGAGAGAGUAAAGAGAAGAAGAAGAGGGUCUUCUUCUAGGGUUGUUAGUUUCAUCUCUUCCCUUCCUCCAUCUUGAGUUUUCUAAGAGCAUCUCAAAUCUAAAAUUUCUCCUCUUACUUUUUAUUUUUAGAAGAGCCCAAAUCAAGAAGAAGGAGGUACCU